rnacentral:rRNA from 1 species
CUAAUACAUGCAAGUCGAGCGAACCGAUUAAGAGCUUGCUCUUAAGAAGUUAGCGGCGGACGGGUGAGUAACACGUAGGUAACCUGCCUAUAAGACUGGGAUAACUCCGGGAAACCGGGGCUAAUACCGGAUAACAUUUUGCACCGCAUGGUGCGAAAUUGAAAGGCGGCUUCGGCUGUCACUUAUAGAUGGACCUGCGGCGCAUUAGCUAGUUGGUGAGGUAACGGCUCACCAAGGCGACGAUGCGUAGCCGACCUGAGAGGGUGAUCGGCCACACUGGGACUGAGACACGGCCCAGACUCCUACGGGAGGCAGCAGUAGGGAAUCUUCCGCAAUGGACGAAAGUCUGACGGAGCAACGCCGCGUGAGCGAUGAAGGCCUUCGGGUCGUAAAGCUCUGUUGUUAGGGAAGAACAAGUGCUAGUUGAAUAAGCUGGCACCUUGACGGUACCUAACCAGAAAGCCACGGCUAACUACGUGCCAGCAGCCGCGGUAAUACGUAGGUGGCAAGCGUUAUCCGGAAUUAUUGGGCGUAAAGCGCGCGCAGGUGGUUUCUUAAGUCUGAUGUGAAAGCCCACGGCUCAACCGUGGAGGGUCAUUGGAAACUGGGAGACUUGAGUGCAGAAGAGGAAAGUGGAAUUCCAUGUGUAGCGGUGAAAUGCGUAGAGAUAUGGAGGAACACCAGUGGCGAAGGCGACUUUCUGGUCUGCAACUGACACUGAGGCGCGAAAGCGGAGCCCCC